rnacentral:rRNA from 1 species
AUGCAGGUCGAUUAGCAUGCUAGUUGCACGAGUUCAUACUCUGUGGCGAAAGCUCAGUAACACGUGGCCAAACUACCCUACAGAGAACGAUAACCUCGGGAAACUGAGGCUAAUAGUUCAUACGGGAGUCAUGCUGGAAUGCCGACUCCCCGAAACGCUCAGGCGCUGUAGGAUGUGGCUGCGGCCGAUUAGGUAGACGGUGGGGUAACGGCCCACCGUGCCGAUAAUCGGUACGGGUUGUGAGAGCAAGAGCCCGGAGACGGAAUCUGAGACAAGAUUCCGGGCCCUACGGGGCGCAGCAGGCGCGAAACCUUUACACUGCACGCAAGUGCGAUAAGGGGACCCCAAGUGCGAGGGCAUAUAGUCCUCGCUUUUCUCGACUGUAAGGCGGUCGUGGAAUAAGAGCUGGGCAAGACCGGUGCCAGCCGCCGCGGUAAUACCGGCAGCUCAAGUGAUGACCGAUAUUAUUGGGCCUAAAGCGUCCGUAGCCGGCCACGAAGGUUCAUCGGGAAAUCCGCCAGCUCAACUGGCGGGCGUCCGGUGAAAACCACGUGGCUUGGGACCGGAAGGCUCGAGGGGUACGUCCGGGGUAGGAGUGAAAUCCCGUAAUCCUGGACGGACCACCGAUGGCGAAAGCACCUCGAGAAGACGGAUCCGACGGUGAGGGACGAAAGCUAGGGUCUCGAACCGGAUUAGAUACCCGGGUAGUCCUAGCUGUAAACGAUGCUCGCUAGGUGUGACACAGGCUACGAGCCUGUGUUGUGCCGUAGGGAAGCCGAGAAGCGAGCCGCCUGGAAGUACUCCGCAAG